rnacentral:tRNA from 1 species
GCGGAAAUAGCUCAGUUGGUAGAGCAUAACCUUGCAAAGGUUAGGGUCGCGAGUUCGAGUCUCGUUUUCCGCU